rnacentral:lncRNA from 1 species
CUGGAGUUUUAGCAAAAUUCCCAAGAGAGGAAGAAAUGAAGCCCGCCAAGGAAGCAUCGAUCUAUCUGAUUUGGGUCCAGUGGUUUCCUGAACAGCUGAGCAGAUGGAAGACCUGAUUCUUCAGUUUUGAGAAAGUCAGAUUCUGCUUCUCCUGACUCUUGCUCUGUUGCACUUCUAAUUUCUGAGUCAGCUUAGACUGAGCUGAGUGUGAAUCAGGAGACCAACUUCUGCAUCCUAAGGGAGCUUGACUUGGCUUCCAAGGAGUUCAUCUUCGACGCUUAUGACUCUGAGUCCCGAAAAUGAGCCAACGAGGCAAUCUUUCUUCCUCCUGGAUUUGACUGGCACGAGACUGUUUCUAAGACACAGAGGAGCAAGGAUUUGGGGAAGAUGGCCACCUGACGGCAGCUUUUUUCUCCUUGGAUCCCAGCUCCCAAUUCCUCACUUUCAGAGCUGGGAGAGAAGGAGAUGAGGGCUGAGUGCAGGCUUUCAUCCUCCAGACCAAUGCUGACCUGGAGCUGCUCCGGCAUAUAGGAAAGAAAGGCUGGGAUCCUGGGAAAAAAAAUGCUCAUUCUGAGAUCCGUGGCCACAUCUGCUGGAGAGCGCCCAAUGUUUCUGGUUCCUUUGAGGCCAGGUGGGAGCUGGGUCUGGAGCUGUGGCCUCGCCCACCCGGAAGUGGCAGCGUAGGAGGACUUGAUUUGUGUCAGAGAAUGGAGACCUCUCUUGGAGCUUUCAUCAGUGACAGAGAAUCUGUUGGUUUCUAAGCUGCUACUUCCUUGGGGGCACAAAAUGUUUUCCCACCAUCUGUGUGACUGGCACCAAAUGGGGGACCCCAAUGAGCAGGUCUGAGCAUGAGCAAGCAGACAAGGGAAAUGGAAGCACAGCGAAGAGAUUCUGGUGCCUAGAGAAGAAGGAGACACUAAGAGGACUCAUCCCAUCACGUGGGAGCCUGCCAGACACAGCAGUGGCAGACUGAGCCAGAACUACAGAAGCCUGCUGGGGGGAUUCUCGAGCACUUCACCACGGAGCCAGCUCAGGAUCUUCCAGUUAAACAGUUUUGCAAAUGAAUCCAGGGAGGGGAUGAGUCCUGAGAAGACAAAUUAGGGGGUAGCUGAGGUCCCAGAGCAAAGAAAUAUAAUGGAAAAAAGCUACAAGGGGAAAGAAAAGUUUAUGAGAGGGACCUCAAAGACUUACUAUGUGAAAAACACAAGGUGCAGAAAUUGAAAAAGAAAGCCAGGUGUGGUGACACAUGCAUGUAAUUCCAGCAUUCUGGGAGGCUGAGGCAGGAGGAUUGCAAGUUUGAGCCCAGCCUGGGUGAUUUAGUGACUAAGUGAGACUCUGUUUAAAAAUUAAAAAUAAAA